rnacentral:rRNA from 1 species
CUCCUACGGGAGGCAGCAGUGGGGGAUAUUGCACAAUGGGGGAAACCCUGAUGCAGCGACGCCGCGUGGAGGAAGAAGGUUUUCGGAUUGUAAACUCCUGUCGUUAGGGACGAUAAUGACGGUACCUAACAAGAAAGCACCGGCUAACUACGUGCCAGCAGCCGCGGUAAAACGUAGGGUGCAAGCGUUGUCCGGAAUUACUGGGUGUAAAGGGAGUGCUUGCGGACCGGCAAUCCGGAAGUGAAAA